rnacentral:misc_RNA from 1 species
UCCUCUUUACAGAGGCAGUUUGUUCCGAGUUCCCGACAUUACUCGCUGGCAACAGAACAUGAGGGUUGCGCUCGUUGCGGGACUUAACCCAACAUUUCACAACACGAGCUGACGACAGCCAUGCACCACCUGUGCACCACCUUCGAAAGCGACUGCUUUUCGGCAGCGUGCAGUUGCAUGUCAAGCCCUGGUAAGGUUCUACGCGUUGCAUCGAAUUAAGCCACAUGCUCCACCGCUUGUGCGGGCCCCCGCCAAUUCCUUUGAGUUUCAACCUUGCGGCCGUAGUCCCCAGGCGGUUCACUUAAUGCGUUAGCUGCGGCACCGAGGCUUACGCCCCAACACCUAGUGAACAUCGUUUAUGGCUAAGACUAC